CCUACGGGGGGCUGCAGUGGGGAAUAUUGGACAAUGGGGGCAACCCUGAUCCAGCCAUGCCGCGUGUGUGAAGAAGGCCCUCGGGUUGUAAAGCACUUUCAGUGAGGAAGAACGCCUGGUGGUUAAUACCCAUCAGGAAAGACAUCACUCACAGAAGAAGCACCGGCUAACUCCGUGCCAGCAGCCGCGGUAAUACGGAGGGUGCGAGCGUUAAUCGGAAUUACUGGGCGUAAAGCGCGCGUAGGUGGCUUGAUAAGCCGGUUGUGAAAGCCCCGGGCUCAACCUGGGAACGGCAUCCGGAACUGUCAAGCUAGAGUGCAGGAGAGGAAGGUAGAAUUCCCGGUGUAGCGGUGAAAUGCGUAGAGAUCGGGAGGAAUACCAGUUGCGAAGGCGGCCUUCUGGACUGACACUGACACUGAGGUGCGAAAGCGUGGGUAGCAAACAGGAUUAGAUACCCUAGUAGUC
rnacentral:rRNA from 1 species